UAACCCCGAUGAAAUUCUGCGCUAUCACUUUAAAUCAUACUGCGCUGUCGCUCCUAGUAAAAUUCUGCACUGUCACUUUAAAUUUGCCGGUUCCCUUGCGCUGUGCAAAUACCGCGAGACUAUAAGUUCAGUAGUGACGUGGCUUUCGUUCUUGGGAGACCUGUCAAAGCACUGACAGGUUGCAAGUACGAGGGAGCUGGGCUGUGUACCGCUGCUGCAGAUCGGCGUUCAUCAUCUGAAGCCGGGAUUUAAAUCUGCACAGUUGAACAAAAAGUGAACUGGCCAGGUCGCAAGACUGGUCGUCUUGCAGACCAAUUUACUGGAUGCUCAACCUGAGCACUGGACAGAAUUGUUUAUCAGGGAGUUUUACCACUCCCAGAAGGAAAAAAGAGGAUAAAUCCUCUGCAGAUGGCGAGCUAAAAAGGAGCCCCGAUCCUGACUUGGAUUCUGCCCUCUUCACUGCCAGUGCGGUAGGAACUAACCCCCUUCUCAUCCAACAAAUCAGCUGGAGUGUUUCUUUCUUUUCGUUUUUCCAAAAGAGAACUAUAAAAACUCUUUCAUAAGGCCUAACGGACGCCUUAAGAACUAGAAAGACAAAACAACAGAAACAUCCUCUGGACUAAAAAAAAAAUCCUUUGUUGUAUAUAUUGUGAUUUUUGUAUUCACUGUAUAUUGUAAAUACAUUUACAUUAGCAACUCAA